rnacentral:rRNA from 1 species
GGUGUGGAUAGGGGAGAAAUUCCAAUCGAACCCGGAGAUAGCUGGUUCUCCUCGAAAUAGCUUUAGGGCUAGCCUCGAUACAGAUUUGCGGAGGUAGAGCACUGAAUUUCCUAGGGGGCGUCAAAGCCUACCGAAGAAUAUCAAACUCCGAAUGCCGCGUAAUCGAUUAUCGGGAGUCAGACUGCACGAGAUAAGUUGGGCGGUCAAAAGGGAAAGAGCCCAGACCUUCAGUUAAGGUCCCAAAGUGCGCGUUAAGUGGAAAAGGAUGUGGGAUUUCGAAGACAACCAGGAUGUUGGCUCAGAAGCAGCCAUACAUUCAAAGAGUGCGUAAUAGCUCACUGGUCGAGAGGUCCUGCGCCGAAAAUGUCCGGGGCUGAAACGCGCCACCGAAACUAAGGAACCGAAAGGUUGGUAGAGGAGCAUUGCAUGCGGAACGAAGCAGUACCGAAAGGAGCUGUGGACUGCAUGGAAGAGAGAAUGCCGGAAUGAGUAGCGAGAUAGAGGUGGGAAUCCUCUAGGCCGAAUAUCCAAGGUUUCCAGAGUAAAGCUGAUCUGCUCUGGGUAAGUCGGGGCCUAAGGCGAGGACGAGAGUCGUAGCCGAUGGACAACAGGUGGAGAUUCCUGUACUGCGGUAUGACAGAACUGUGGGGACACGUAAGGAGAGCGGAAGCCGGGAAUGGAAAGCCCGGUGCAAGCGGGGUACCAGUCACUUUGGCAAAUCCGGGUGGCAAUGGGAAGCCGUGAUGCGGAGCGAAAUAAAGUAGCGAAGUCCGUGAGCCAUGCGUCAAGAAAAGCCGCUAUUGUUUAUACCGUACCCGUACCGUAAACCGACACAGGUGGAUGAGGAGAGAAUCCUAAGGCCGGCGGAAGAAGCAUUGUCAAGGAACUCGGCAAAAUGACCCCGUAACUUCGGGAGAAGGGGUGCCUGCGAGAGCAGGCCGCAGAGAAUAGGCUCAAGCAACUGUUUAGCAAAAACACAGGUCUAUGCGAAACCGAAAGGUGAGGUAUAUGGGCUGACGCCUGCCCGGUGCUGGAAGGUUAAGAGGAGAGGUUAGCGCAAGCGAAGCUUUGAAUUUAAGCCCCAGUAAACGGCGGCCGUAACUAUAACGGUCCUAAGGUAGCGAAAUUCCUUGUCGGGUAAGUUCCGACCCGCACGAAAGGCGUAAUGAUUUGAGCGCUGUCUCGACAAUGCAUCCGGUGAAAUUGAAGUACCAGUGAAGAUGCUGGUUACCUGCGCCAGGACGGAAAGACCCCAUGGAGCUUUACUCCAGUUUGGUACUGGGAUCCGGUAUUGCAUGUACAGGAUAGGUGGGAGGCUAUGAAUCGGUAACGCCAGUUGCCGAGGAGCCGCUGUUGGGAUACCACCCUUGCAGUAUUGGGUUUCUAACCAGCCGCCGUGACCCGGCGGUGGGACAAUGCCAGACGGGGAGUUUGACUGGGGCGGUCGCCUCCGAAAGGGUAUCGGAGGCGCCCAAAGGUUCCCUCAGAAUGGACGGAAACCAUUCGAAGAGUGCAAAGGCAGAAGGGAGCUUGACUGCGACACCGACGGGUGGAGCAGGUACGAAAGUAGGACUUAGUGAUCCGGUGGUAUAAAGUGGGAUUGCCAUCGCUCAACGGAUAAAAGCUACCCUGGGGAUAACAGGCUUAUCACUCCCAAGAGUUCACAUCGACGGAGUGGUUUGGCACCUCGAUGUCGGCUCAUCGCAUCCUGGGGCUGUAGCAGGUCCCAAGGGUUGGGCUGUUCGCCCAUUAAAGCGGUACGCGAGCUGGGUUCAGAACGUCGUGAGACAGUUCGGUCCCUAUCCGGCGUGGGCGUAGGAUAUCUGAGAGGAGCUGUCCUUAGUACGAGAGGACCGGGAUGGACGGGCCGCUGGUGCAUCGGUUAGACUGCCAAGUCUACGGCCGAGUAGCCAAGCCCGGAAGGGAUAAACGCUGAAGGCAUCUAAGCGUGAAGCCCCCCUUAAGAUGAGAUAUCCCAUUCGUUAAGAAGUAAACCCCCUUGAAGACGACGAGGUAGAUAGGGCAGAGGUGGAAGUGCAGUAAUGCAUGGAGCUGACUGUUACUAAUCGGGUGAGGGCUUGACCAA